UACGAAGGGGGCUAGCGUUGCUCGGAAUCACUGGGCGUAAAGCGCACGUAGGUGGAUCGCUAAGUCAGGGGUGAAAUCCUGGAGCUCAACUCCAGAACUGCCUUUGAUACUGGCAAUCUCGAGUCCGGGAGAGGUGAGUGGAAUUGCGAGUGUAGAGGUGAAAUUCGUAGAUAUUCGCAAGAACACCAGUGGCGAAGGCGGCUCACUGGCCCGGUACUGACGCUGAGGUGCGAAAGCGUGGGGAGCAAACAGG
rnacentral:rRNA from 1 species